rnacentral:rRNA from 1 species
AAUGGGGGAAACCCUGACGCAGCAACGCCGCGUGAAUGAAGAAGGCUUUCGGGUCGUAAAAUUCUGUCCUUAGGGAAGAAGAAAGUGACGGUACCUAAGGAGGAAGCCCCGGCUAACUACGUGCCAGCAGCCGCGGUAAUACGUAGGGGGCGAGCGUUGUCCGGAAUCACUGGGCGUAAAGGGCGCGUAGGCGGUAUAUUAAGUCAGGUGUGAAAGUUUUCGGCUCAACCGGAAAAGUGCACUUGAAACUAAUAAACUUGAGUACUGGAGAGGUAAGCGGAAUUCCUAGUGUAGCGGUGAAAUGCGUAGAUAUUAGGAGGAACACCGGUGGCGAAGGCGGCUUACUGGACAGAGACUGACGCUGAGGCGCGAAAGCGUGGGGAGCAAA